GGUGGUUCUGGCAGUCGAGGUGGCCUUGGCAGAUCCUUAUACUGCUCCCUCCUACGCUGAAUAAAAUGAUUCAACCGACCAUAUCGAAUGAACUUCUCGAUCUCAUCUUGGAGCUGGAUGCAUUCCUUAGUAUUAUGGCUGUGGUCAAGGUGGUAAAGACAGUACUUGUUUGGAUCAUGCUGACCUGAUCAAAUGCAUCCUCCUUGUCUCAGGGAGUUGCUCCUUGACC
rnacentral:lncRNA from 1 species